rnacentral:lncRNA from 1 species
GCUGGGUGAACUCUGCUGCUCUGUGAUUGGUUGAAGCAGGUCACAUGCUUUACAGGAAACCUGCUCUUCCCCCUGCAGCACCAGGGAAACUCUCCUCAACUCUCCGAGCUGGUUCUGUGAGCGUCAGAUCCAGAUUUCCUCCAGAUUCCUCUAGACUUUGUUUAAGACUCCAGACUUUCUUUUGGGCUGUGACGAGACGAGGAGGAAAUGGCAGAAGGAAAAGCAAAGCCUCCAGAGGGCAGCACUGAGCCACAGCUCUAUGGGACAAAAAGCAGAUCUACAGCCUCAGUGUCCGCUCUGUCCAUGAAGAGUGACUGGUCUAAAGACCGUGAUCCAACCUUCAGUCCUGAACCUGCUCCAGACUCACGACGCAGAUCUACAGCCUCAGUGUCCGCUCUGUCCAUGAAGAGUGACUGGUCUAAAGACCGUGAUCCAACCUUCAGUCCUGAACCUGCUCCAGACUCACGACGCAGAUCUACAGCCUCAGUGUCCGUGAAGAGUGACAGGUCUAAAGACCGUGAUCCAUGCUUCAGUCCUGAACCUGCUCCAGACUCACGAAGCAGAUCUACAGCCUCAGUGUCCAUGAAGAGUGACUGGUCUAAAGACCGUGAUCCAUGCUUCAGUCCUGAACCUGCUCCAGACUCACGAGAAACAGAGUCAGAGCAGGACGCCUGGCCUCAGUGUGGAGACACAGGCAACAGUCCUGAUCAGUGGGUUCAAGGCCCUGCACCAGGUGAGUCUGCUCAGUCUGA